rnacentral:lncRNA from 1 species
ACUGAAAACGAACUUUGAAAUCAAACCAUCUUAAAUCUCAAUUCUUCCCUUACAGUCUCAGUUUCCCCAUUUGUGAAAAGAAAAAUGCAUAUAUCAACUUUUUAGAAAAUUAAAUGACAUAAUGUCAAUUAAUGCUUAAAAAAUAUCACUGAGCACUGAGGAAAUGGAAAAGAUUGUGGCAUUGGACAAGUCGAGCCAGGAGGUGGAAGGAAUCUGAGCCUGGAGUCAAUAGAUAAGUGAAUAGAUAAAAUCACUGCAACCAGUCUGCUCUGCACCAUAGGGCCUGCAAACUCAGGAGUCCUCUGGAGUCAGGCAGAUCUUGAGCUGCUGUUUAUUGCUAAUUCGAAGUUGACAAGUUAUUUAAUUGUGAAGCUGAACUUGAAGUCAGAGUGCGGCAGAAUGGAUGGAGGUAGACUGUUUCGUUUUGCUUUCAACAGGUUACCUGAAGACCGGAUGCAUGGUGUGGUAUGAGCAGGUUUCUGGGAAAAGCACGGGAGCCAAGACUUUGGUUGUAAAAAAUCUUGAUGGCCAUAAUACAGGAGGUAAAGUAUUUCUAAACUUUUUAGAAUUAUGUGUUUGAGUCCAUGACAACACACCUAUACAUAUGUAUGUAUAUAUAUAUACAUAUACAUACAUAUAUAUAAAAUCAGCAUCAACCAAAGUGACAUAUAACAUUUCUUUUUUUUUUUUAAUAAAUAUAGGUCCCUGGAAAUGUCUUAAGAAAAAUGAAUUCCUACUUAAAUAUUGGCAUAUUUGAGCUGAGAUUCCUUUGAAGAAAGUUACCAUUUUCAAAUACCACUAUCCAUGAAAGAUAAACAAUCUGGAAAUUAUCACCUGCCUGAAUAUUUUUGGAGUAGAACUGAUGACGUGUUGCUGAACUAUGGGCUGACGUGGGUCCCAAGACACGUGCUGUUCAAACACUUUGGCCAUUGUUGUGGUUUUUUUAUCUACUCAAGAGCCUGUACUAGCACAAGAGCAGGGAUCUUGCUGGACUUUGGGGACACAAUAAUAAUCCCUGCUCUCAGGCAUCUUACAAUCUUCAGUCAACAGUUAAUGGAUCCAAAGUCAGGGAAGAGAAGCACGUCACAGUCAUGGACUACAACAAGGAAAAAUAAAAUGCCACUACCACCUGCUGUUUGUCUGUCAAUAUUUCUACACAAAAAUUUGAAUUUCUGGCUUCUUUCUUAAAAAAAAAAAAAAUCAUAUCUUAGCAUACUAGAUCAGAAAUCCCCCUUGGCAACAGCUGACUGGAACCAGAUGGCAGCAUACUUCCCAGAUCACUGCUCGUGCUUUCUCCAGCUCACCAGUGUUGCCCUCACUCCCAUUAGGUUCACUCGUCACUCAAUGCUAUUACCCCCUUGGUCCCCUUAUUUCAGUAUUGAGUUGCUGCCCCUGCUAGAAAUGAUUGGCAGUCAGAGAGCCUGGCUGUAGCCCUGGGCCUGCUGGACUCAGCCAUUAUUAAAUGUGUGACCUAUGAUGAAUUAUUUAACCCCACU